ACUGCUCAGUAACACGUGGAUAACCUGCCCUUGGNUCCGGCAUAACCCCGGGAAACUGGGGAUAAUUCCGGAUAACGCACAUAUGCUGGAAUGCUUUAUGCGUAAAAUGGAUUCGUCUGCCCAAGGAUGGGUCUGCGGCCUAUCAGGUAGUAGUGGGUGUAAUGUACCUACUAGCCAACAACGGGUACGGGUUGUGAGAGCAAGAGCCCGGAGAUGGAUUCUGAGACAUGAAUCCAGGCCCUACGGGGCGCAGCAGGCGCGAAAACUUUACAAUGCGGGAAACCGUGAUAAGGGGACACCGAGUGCCAGCAUCAUAUGCUGGCUGUCCAGGUGUGUAAAAUACACCUGUCAGCAAGGGCCGGGCAAGACCGGUGCCAGCCGCCGCGGUAACACCGGCGGCCCGAGUGGUGAUCGUGAUUAUUGGGUCUAAAGGGUCCGUAGCCGGUUUGGUCAGUCCUCCGGGAAAUCUGACGGCUUAACCGUUAGGCUUUCGGGGGAUACUGCCAGGCUUGGAACCGGGAGAGGUAAGAGGUACUACAGGGGUAGGAGUGAAAUCUUGUAAUCCCUGUGGGACCACCUGUGGCGAAGGCGUCUUACCAGAACGGGUUCGACGGUGAGGGACGAAAGCUGGGGGCACGAACCGGAUUAGAUACCCGGGUAGUCCCAGCCGUAAACGAUGCUCGCUAGGUGUCAGGCAUGGCGCGACCGUGUCUGGUGCCGCAGGGAAGCCGUGAAGCGAGCCACCUGGGAAGUACGGCCGCAAGGCUGAAACUUAAAGGAAUUGGCGGGGGAGCAC
rnacentral:rRNA from 1 species